CAACCCUUAAGCUUAGUUGCCAUCAUUAAGUUGGGCACUCUAAGUUGACUGCCGGUGACAAACCGGAGGAAGGUGGGGAUGACGUCAAAUCAUCAUGCCCCUUAUGAUUUGGGCUACACACGUGCUACAAUGGACAAUACAAAGGGCAGCGAAACCGCGAGGUCAAGCAAAUCCCAUAAAGUUGUUCUCAGUUCGGAUUGUAGUCUGCAACUCGACUACAUGAAGCUGGAAUCGCUAGUAAUCGUAGAUCAGCAUGCUACGGUGAAUACGUUCCCGGGUCUUGUACACACCGCCCGUCACACCACGAGAGUUUGUAACACCCGAAGCCGGUGGAGUAACCUUUUAGGAGCUAGCCGUCGAAGGUGGGACAAAUGAUUGGGGUGAAGUCGUAACAAGGUAGCCGUAUCGGAAGGUGCGGCUGGAUCACCUCCUUUCUA
rnacentral:rRNA from 1 species